UAAGACCUGGAGCUACCAGAACAGCAGGUCUUUCUCUAGUACCAUUAAAUGGCUUGCAUUAGCCUCAUUUAAGAUUUCUUUACUUCAUGAGCCGAGCUUCGGGAGGGGGUGGGGGCAUUUUAAAAUCUUGUCUCUGGGGCCACGGCAACCUUGCUACACCCCUGAGAGUGUGCAUUCACACUCCUUCCUUACUCGGAAGGAAUCCCUUUGAGAUCCUUGAACCCAAUCCACACACAAAGCUGGCUUUGUCUUGCAAAUUCUAGCUUAUCUUGCUGUAUUUCUGGGUUUUUGAAAUGCUGGUUUUAAGCUGCUUUUUCUGAAAGCACUGGAGCAAAUAGGGAGAGGCAUAGACUUUGAAUCAUUAGCAUGAUAAGAGGGAUACUCUUUAGAAAUGCAGAUUUAGCUCUUUAGUAAUCUCUCUCCCACCCCCACCCCCAAUGGCUAGAAGGAAAACACGGAGGCAUGCCAUGUGAACUUGCAUCAAAACAAAAACCUGAGAGCAGAGGGGAGGGGCUGCUUUCCUCAAUGCUGCAAGUGUGAUUCGAAGAGGCUUUGCUCAACAUUUACCCUGCAGCAUGAAGCCAUGUGCGAAUAACUCCCUGGAGGGCGAUUCAAAAGUUGAUUUACAGUUCUGUUAUGGCUGCCAACCAUCACAGCUUCAUUGCAGCUAGAUGACACCCUGUCAAAUAUCAUCCCAACCAACAUCAGAAACUUCAUCUCACCCAAAGUGCAGCAAAGUGGAACCAGAAAAAUUAGGAGAAUCUUCAUCUUGGUUAAUGUUGUCAAUGCAGCUGGAAAAAUUAAGGAGAUCAAGAGGAAAGUAGAAGCAACCUCAGUAUCAGCCUCUUCUCCAAAGACCAUUCAAAUAACUAUUCAAAGCAUGUCCCUAUGUUCCUAUCCCUGUCACCUACUAAGAUCACCUGGAGAGGUCCAGUUAUGGUUGCCACCUGCUCUUUUGGUGGAAACUUGAGGAGGGAGAGAGAGAGAGAUGUUCUCUUCCACCAGUUCCCAGUGGUACAUGUGUCUCUAUAGGUAAGGAAAUACCAGGAGCUGUGGUGGCUGCUUGUCACUGGAGCAGCAAGGAGGAGAGGGAGCAGGAGAGAAGGAAAUACACCCUUAUUGUCAAGCAAGGUGAAGAAGGAGAGGAAUGCUGGCAGCGGACAGAAGAAGGAAGCAAGACACAAAGAAAGAAAACAAAUGAAUGAAUGAACCGGCCAGCCAGCCACAGCAGUGAAUACUACCAUGUAUCUUCCUAAGAAAUAAGUUGCGGAAGCUUAGUGAUAGCUUGAAGACACCCUGUCAAAUCUCAUCCCAACCAAAAUCAGAAACUUCAUCUCACCCAAAGUGCAGCAAAGCAGAACCAAAACAAUUAGAAGAAUCUUCAUCUUGCUGAAUGUUGUCAAUGCAGCUGGAAAGAUCAAUGAGAUCAAGAGGAAAGUAGAAGCAACCUCCAAAUCAGCCUCUUCUCCACAGAGAAGUAAGUGCUGACUGUUCAAAACACAGUGAUAUAGGCCGAGGGCAUAAAUCAGUGAAAGGAAACACCCACUUAUUGGAAAGUAAACAGGAGAUGGUUAUCUGCAAGUGAUCUGCAUAUACUUUAUUUGUAUGCCAACCUUUAAAAAUAAGAUUUGCACAGAGCAGUUCACAGAACAAAAAUGUGAACUGUUAAUUGAGCGGAAAGGAAGUAAGAGGAAGUCUGCAGCAAGAGAAAGAUGUAGCAGAUACAAAUGUACAGCUCUGUAAACAGGUACAGUCAUUUACAUAUGAAACUGGUACAGUCAUUUACAUGUGAUGCUGAACUCAGGUACAGUCCACUUCCUAUCUAUACCAUGCAUUUGAAGGGUCUAUAUCCAGGUUCAUCUUUAACCUUUUAACAUGCACAAAACAUGAGUAUGAAAGUACAGGCAUCUGCAUACUCAUACAGCAUGAUUUCUGAAUUGGUCUAAUGUGCAGGUUGCAUUUAGGGAUGCACAGGCAUCCUUUUCCUUAUCCUGGAGCUGUCUGCUGAUCUGCUUCCAUUCUAAACAGACAUGCACAAAUUGUCAUUGCUUUGUCAGUGACUGAUGCCAUCCCUCAAAAAGCAGCCCCAAGUGUGCCCUUUGCUGCUGCCUCCAUUCCCUUCUGCCCCAAAGCAACCCAGGAGCUUGCCUUGGGGUCAGGGAAGUCAGUAGCCCUACUAGAUAUGCUGGCUGCAGGUGCUCCAAGCCCCUCUCCGGCCAGCCUCCAUUGCCACAUUCCUUUCUUUCUGCCUCUCCUCAGGAACCAAGAUUGGACAGGGUUAAGGCUGGGUUUUGGCAGCAGUAGGUGUACCAGACAGAGAUGUUGCCAAAUUUCUCUUGUAUCUACAUCUCUCUGGAGAAUAGGAAUUCCUCUCAACAGGAACGGAACUCAAUUCAGCAGCUUUCUUGCGUGUUUUGCAGCUUUCUUGCCUGUUUUGUCUUUAAUUUCUCAUAAGGAUAUGCAUUUGAUGUUGUUAAUUUCUCCCUUUCCCCAGAUGUCAUUGUUGUAUUGUGAUUUCAUUCUUAUCUCCAUUCAUAUUUUCCCCAGAUUGCCUUUUAAGAGUCCAAAAUGUUUUGUCUUAGAACCAUUUCCAGUUGGAAAUGCAUGAAACAUUAUGGAGUCAUUCAGGGAUAGGUGAAUUCAGAAGCCAUUCACACAAGCCCACAAACACACACACAAUGGCUGUGUGUGUGUGUGUGUGCGCGCGCGCGCACUUGUGUGAAUGGCUACAAUGUGUGAAUGGCUUAUCUCUGUGUGUGUGUGUUGUGUGAACAGCAGAAGUGUGUGUGUGUGUGUGUGUGUGUGUGUGUGUGUGUGAAUGGCUACAGUGUGAGUGUCUCUCUGUGUGAAUGGCUGCAGUGUGUGCACCCACACUUUGCCUUGGUCAUUCAGUGAGACAUUGGGCUGCGGAGGGAUGCACUCAGCAGUCAUUUAACAGGUGCAGUUUCCCUAAUAACUUCCUAGAAAUGCCCUUGAUGAAUUUCUGCCUGAUUCUUCUCUGAUUAGACAAAGUGUGGGUGCAGUUCUAAAGCCACCAUCAAAUAUGAGACUCUACAAAAUCUUCACAGCUUAUGUGGCACAGAACUUAAGAUGGUCACCUUAACUUGCAAUUUCCAUUCUUUUUAGAGCAUGAGUCAAAAUGUAAAGCAUCUAAACUCUCAUCUUAAACCAGAAGUUUUUGGAUUACUGAUAUAUUUUGGCAGUCACAACAUUUUGGAUACAUUUCAUUUAUGAGCUAAUGUGUGUUGCACAAUGAAUUAAUUUCAAAACA